CUGCACUUGAACCUCAGGAAGCAACAGGAACGGAGUCGGCUUCUGAAGUACCAGACAAAGUGGAGGAGAAUCUACCAACCCUUCAAGAGACGGCUGAGAAGGCCAUGUCUGACACACUGACAGAUGUCAAGGAGAGCAUGACCAGAGUGGUGGACAUGACCAAGGAGGCCAUGCAGGAUGGUAUGAAGA